rnacentral:rRNA from 1 species
UACGGGGGGGGCAAGCGUUGUUCGGAAUUACUGGGCGUAAAGGGUUCGUAGGUGGCCGACUAAGUCAGACGUGAAAUCCCUCAGCUCAACUGGGGAACUGCGUCUGAGACUGGCCGGCUUGAGUGCAGGAGAGGAACGCGGAAUUCCAGGUGUAGCGGUGAAAUGCGUAGAUAUCUGGAGGAACACCGGUGGCGAAGGCGGCGUUCUGGACUGCUACUGACACUGAGGAACGAAAGCCAGGGGAGCAAACGGGAUUAGAAACCCCCGUAGUCC